rnacentral:rRNA from 1 species
GAGUUUGAUCCUGGCUCAGGAUGAACGCUAGCGGCAGGCUUAAUACAUGCAAGUCGAACGGGAUUUAGGGUAGCAAUACUUUAAUGAGAGUGGCGCACGGGUGCGUAACACGUAUGCAACCUACCUUUAACUGGAAGAUAGCCCCGGGAAAUCGGGAUUAAUAUUUCAUAACAAUGCGCGAUGGCAUCAUCAUGCAUUUAAAGCUCCGGCGGUUAAAGAUGGGCAUGCGGGACAUUAGCUUGUUGGUGAGGUAACGGCUCACCAAGGCUAUGAUGUCUAGGGGUCCUGAGAGGGUUAUCCCCCACACUGGUACUGAGACACGGACCAGACUCCUACGGGAGGCAGCAGUAAGGAAUAUUGGUCAAUGGACGCAAGCCUGAACCAGCCAUGCCGCGUGCAGGAAGACGGCCCCAUGGGUUGUAAACUGCUUUUGUCAGGGAAUAAACCCCCGUACGUGUGCGGGGCUGAAGGUACCUGAAGAAUAAGCAUCGGCUAACUCCGUGCCAGCAGCCGCGGUAAUACGGAGGAUGCAAGCGUUAUCCGGAUUCAUUGGGUUUAAAGGGUGCGCAGGCGGAUUGGUAAGUCAGGGGUGAAAUCCCACAGCUCAACUGUGGAACUGCCUUUGAUACUGUCAGUCUUGAGUAUAGUUGAAGUGGGCGGAAUGUGUCAUGUAGCGGUGAAAUGCUUAGAUAUGACACAGAACACCGAUCGCGAAGGCAGCUCGCUAAACUAUAACUGACGCUCAUGCACGAAAGCGUGGGGAUCAAAC